rnacentral:tRNA from 1 species
ACCUGGCUGGCUCAGUUGGCAGAGCAUGCAACUUUUAACCUCAGGGUCAUGAGUUCAAGCCCCAUGCUGGGUA